rnacentral:rRNA from 1 species
GCGCGAAAACUUUACAAUGCUGGCAACAGCGAUAAGGGAACCUCGAGUGCCCGGUUACAAAUCUGGCUGUCGAGAUGCCUAAAAAGCAUUUCAUAGCAAGGGCCGGGCAAGACCGGUGCCAGCCGCCGCGGUAACACCGGCGGCCCGAGUGGUAACCGUUCUUAUUGGGUCUAAAGGGUCUGUAGCCGGCCGGAUAAGUCUCUUGAGAAAUCUGGCAGCUUAACUGUCAGGCUUUCAGGAGAUACUGUCUGGCGCGAGGCCGGGAGAGGUGAGAGGUACUUCAGGGGUAGGGGUGAAAUCUUGUAAUCCUUGAAGGACCACCAGUGGCGAAGGCGUCUCACCAGAACGGACCUGACGGCAAGGGACGAAAGCUAGGGGCACGAACC